rnacentral:rRNA from 1 species
UACGUAGGGGGCUAGCGUUGUCCGGAAUCAUUGGGCGUAAAGAGCGUGUAGGCGGUCCGGUAAGUCCGCUGUGAAAGUCGGGGGCUCAACCCUCGAAUGCCGGUGGAUACUGUCGGGCUAGAGUGCGGAAGAGGCGAGUGGAAUUCCGUGGUGAUAGCGGUGAAAUGCGCAGAUAUCAGGAGGAACACCUAUUGCGAAGGCAGCUCGCUGGGACGUAACUGACGCUGAGACGCGAAAGCGUGGGGAGCAAACAGG